GCAAAAAAUUAUGGCGGUAUUUUAAGCUUUUCAGAGGAAUUUGCUCUUUAAUGGAUAAAACACCUAAAUCUUACUUAAAUUUGUUAAUUCAAUUUGUAUACCACUAUAAAAACAAUUUAUAACUUUAAUUGUUUAAAUUUAUUAAAUUAAAAUAUAUUAAGUCAAGGUGCAGUAAAAAUUUAAGAAUGAAGUGAAUUACAUUACUCUUUAGAGAAAUAAAUUUAAAAUAAUAUUUAGGAUUUGAAAGUAAAAUUAAAAUAAAAUGUUGGUUUGAAUUAAGCUCUAAAAUAUGU
rnacentral:rRNA from 1 species